UGUACCGAUUGUUUGCAGGGU
rnacentral:piRNA from 1 species